rnacentral:lncRNA from 1 species
AUGAGAGUGUAAAAAUACAGCACACAGUGCUAGUCACAAGCAGUCAGAAGCCCUUACUGGAUGCCCAAGGAGGCUGAGGCUGCCUUUACCUGCUGUAAACAUUCCAGGCACAGCUGCCACGGGACAUUUGGUCCCCUGGGUGUCUCCUGAGCAGUCACGUUGAAGUUGCUCCAUUUUGCUUAAACUGAGAAAUAUUAGGCCAGAGAGAGAAGCUGAACCUGUGGCUGAUGGCUUUGUUUGACACUCUUGUGUGAGAAUCCAGAUCCUCCUUCCUUCAGGGAGUAGGCAGCUUAGCAUGAAUUUGCACAUCUGCAUAGCAAAGGCUGCUCUAGCCUGCUGUCAGCCGAGCCAGCCUCAGAGCUGAAAACAUUGUAGCCUCCCUUGUUUGGCAUUGCUGGUGAGCUAAUUAGCCUUGCAGAUAAGCCUAACUAGCUGGGACCAGCUACACUCUGCUAGAGAUCUAUGGCUUUCAGGAACUCCUGUCUUUACAUACCUGGUAAUUACAGCUGUGGAAGCACCAGCUGGGUACAGCUCUUCGCCCUCUUCUACUGCAGACUGAACUCAUGGCCCUCAUCCCUUGAGGAGAAACACCACCAUUUUUGGCACUUUGAACCCUUUCAGCAUUUUGAGACCUGGGUACUAUCUGUCAGCCAGUCUUCAAGUGUGGAAAGCAGUCUGAAUUCAGAUGGUCAGCCCAUCUUCAAAAAAAUUAUGACCAACCCCAAAGGCAACUAGUUGUAUCUGUCAAUGACCUCAAACAUAACAAUAAAAGGAGAAUAAGAUAACA